rnacentral:rRNA from 1 species
AACUAUAAGUUGUAAUUUAAAGCUACGCCUGCUCCAUGAUAUAAAUAGCCGCAGAUCAACUGUGCUAAGGUAGCAUAAUCAUUAGCCCUCUAAUUAAGGGAUAGAAUGAACGGCCACACGCAUUGUUUCCUGUCUCAAACGCUUUUAAUUAACCUAAUUCAAGAGUAAAAAAGCUCCUAUAAAUUAAUAAGACGAUAAGACCCUGUCAAACUUAUACCUUUAGUUAAACUGGGGCGGUUAAAUAAUUACACCUUAUAAUAUCACCAUAACGCAUCCAAACCCUUCGAUCACGAACCAAGUUACUGCAGGGAUAACAGCGCAAUACUUUUCCAGAGACCUAAUCCAAAAAAGAUCUUACGACCUCGAUGUUGAAUUAAAUUCCUUCCUAACGCAAGAGUAAGGAAAGGAAGUCUGUUCGACUUUUAAAUAUUU